GAACGCUGGCGGCGUGCUAACAAUGCAAGUCGAGCGGUAACAGGUGUAGCAAUACAUGCUGACGAGCGGCGAACGGGUGAGUAAUGCUUCGGAAUCUGCCCAAUGGUGGGGAAUAACCAGCCGAAAGGUUGGCUAAUACCGCAUAAGUCCUACGGGGGAAAGCAGGGGAUCGCAAGACCUUGCGCCGAUGGAUGAGCCGAAGUCGGAUUAGCUAGUUGGUAGGGUAACGGCCUACCAAGGCGACGAUCCGUAGCUGGUCUGAGAGGACGACCAGCCACACUGGGACUGAGACACGGCCCAGACUCCUACGGGAGGCAGCAGUGGGGAAUAUUGGACAAUGGGGGAAACCCUGAUCCAGCGACGCCGCGUGUGUGAAGAAGGCCUGCGGGUUGUAAAGCACUUUUAGUGGGGAUGAAAAGCUCAGGGCUAACACCUCUGGGUCUUGACCUAACCCAAAGAAAAAGCACCGGCUAACUCUGUGCCAGCAGCCGCGGUAAUACAGAGGGUGCGAGCGUUAAUCGGAAUUACUGGGCGUAAAGCGUG
rnacentral:rRNA from 1 species